CCGCCUCUUCCCCGCUCGGCGGGAGCGGCUCCCCGGGCGCCCGUUCACAGGACGGCGCUUCCCGCCACGCCUCGCCGCUCCCCCCUCCCCCCGGCGGAGAGAUUGGUACACUGCCAGUGAAAGCAGACUGUGCUCAGUGCUGCUUCUGUGGUUUGACACCCUCUGGAAGGACUCACACAAGGGCUGUGCUGAGCAAGAAACCUGUCAAGCACACAAGCUCAAUGUUUUGUGGCUACAAACAAGAUCAUAAAGGGACAUGCAAAUAGUGGGCUGGAAGAGAGUCCCAGCUGUACAUUACAUCUCUCCUCUCCCAUGUGCUGGAGCAGCAAGGACUGUGCAAAAUGAACACAGACCAGACUCCCUUCUGUGUUCUCUGCAGUUUUAACAGGAUUCACUCACAGAAGCUAAGGGUAAGUCUCUGACUACCUCCUGGCUGACUUUUCCUCUUGUUCAGAACAUUCUGGGAAAUUACUUGGCUUGGAAGUUCUUUGGAGGACAGUGGCUCACUACACAAUCAUAUGGAAAACACUAUUUGUAGACAUGUUCUGCAUUUGUCACUUGUGAGCAGAGGAAGCCCCAGCCUUGUUUUCCACCAAAAGAGACCUUUCUAGUCUGGAGCCAGCACCUUGUGGCCUGGGCUCCUCUCAUGCUGGGAAAGGAGCAUGAGGUAGCACAGAAAUGCUUGUGUUUGCAGUGAGCAGUGCUAUUUUCACAGUGUCAUGCAUCAGGGGAGGAAGAAAGGAUGAUAGAAAAGGAUACAGUCACUGU